rnacentral:rRNA from 1 species
UACGGAGGGGGCUAGCGUUGUUCGGAAUUACUGGGCGUAAAGCGCACGUAGGCGGCUUUGUAAGUUAGAGGUGAAAGCCCAGGGCUCAACCCUGGAAUUGCCUUUAAGACUGCAUCGCUUGAACAUCGGAGAGGUAAGUGGAAUUCCGAGUGUAGAGGUGAAAUUCGUAGAUAUUCGGAAGAACACCAGUGGCGAAGGCGACUUACUGGACGAUUGUUGACGCUGAGGUGCGAAAGCGUGGGGAGAAAACAGG